CGCACCACCAUGCCCAGCUAAUUUUUUUAUUUUUGGUAGAGAUCAGGUCCAUCUACAUUGACCAGGCUGGUCUUGAAGUUUUGAUCAUCAUGCCUCAGGCUUUCAAACUGUUGGGAUUACAGGGAUAAGCUACCAUGCCCAGCCUACUUUAUUUUAUAUUUCACUGAAAUGUUAUUCGUCUAUAUUGUCACAAAUUUAAUCAUAAAACAGAGCUAGGAGAGAAAAAUAAUGAUAGAUACUAUUUAUGAGUUACUUUGAUUGCACUUUUCAUAAAUUAUCCUCACUUCAAAUAGGAGGCAACCAAGUGUAGACAGGUGAACUUGCCCUUGGUCAUAGGGCUAGGAUUUGAACAAUAGUCUGUGAGGCUAAAGCUUAUGUUUUUCUCACUACAUUGCUCUAGUCAAACCAUAUUGCCUCCUGAGGGUAGAAUGAUGAAGAGAAGUAGCUAAGCACUCUGUAGUCAAAGUUGCUGGUUUAAAUACUGGCUCUUAUUCUUACUAGCUGUGUGACCUUGGAUAACUAAUCUAACUUCUCUCUGCUUCAAUUUCUUCCUAUAUAAAAUAGAGAUAAUGUGAGAAUUAAAUGGGACAAAGUAUACACAGCAAUUAAACCAAUGCUUGCUAUACAGCAAGUGUUCAAUAGGUGGUACAAUUUUUGUUACUACUAUUAUUGUUAUUACUACUGAAAGUAAACAAAAAUAAAAAAGAGUGGCUUGGCUGCUUUAAAUGAGAAACAGCCCUAAAGUAAUGCCGGAUGCUCUUGCUGGGUCUGGGAGAACAGCAGAUUACUCACUCUGUUGAGUUGUCAAGCCUGGGUGAUCCCUGCCUGCCGCACUCACAGUCUGCUGUUUACAGUCCCGAAUGCAUCCAGUGGAAUGGUCCUCCCCAUCUGCAGCAUCUGGUGCAAUGUAGGAGACCCUUCAGCUUCCUCUGGACUGUUUUUCUUUUCUGUUUGUGUCCAUCUUCCUUGAUCAAACUCCAGAAGGCAUAUCCCCAAUAGUUUUCUCCAUUGUGGAGGACCUCUUCCAUAUUUUAUGUGCUAGGAUUGUGAUAUUCUGUUAUGGCAGCCCUAGCAGAUGAAUAAUACAGGUAGAAUGGUCCUCAGGUGGUCUGAAGCAGGAGAUACGGCACUUAUGGUGCUCUCUGAUGAAGCCUGAGUCAAUGGAGGAGCCCGCAGCUGCCGGGUCACUUGGUUUCAGGUUUGUGAGAGUCAGCUGAGGGACAAGAGCUCCGGGAACUUUGAAGGCACCCUCUCGAGAAAGCGUUUUCUGUCUUAAAUAUUUUCCUGCACAGGUCUGAAAUUGUAUCAGUAGAAAUUCAUGUGGGGGUCUUGAUGCCUUCUUUAGUUUUCAGCAAUCUCAUGAUAGAAUGAGAAUGUACCUGGUCACCAGGACGCUGUUGAUAGGCUGAGAAUGUGGGGUGUGGUUUCUGGAAAAGGACUGCAGGGAAGCCGGCAGUGAAGGACAGAUGGGCCAGAUCUUUAGGUUCUCUCCCUUCCAGCUUUGCCCAGGACCAGCCUGGAUGAGCUUCUCAUGGGGCUUACAGAAAGAAGGGUGUUUUGGUUCUUCCUUGAAGGUAUUAAUACUUACUUCUCUGAAUGUGAGGCUCUGGGCUGGGGGCACAAGGCUACAGUGAUUGCUUCAUUGUUUGGUGGUGGAGUCUUUGAGAUCCUUCUUUUGACCUUUCAGGCUCUACAACAUUUUGAUCAGAAGUUUUUGCUUUUUGUGUAAGGGAUGUGGUGCAAUUGGGGAAGGUGCUAUUGGGGUUUUUAGUGUAAGGGAUGUGGUGCAAUUGGGGAAGGUGCUAUUGG
rnacentral:lncRNA from 10 species